GAGUGGCGGACGGGUGAGUAACACGUGGGUAACCUGCCCUAAAGUGGGGGAUAACAUUUGGAAACAGAUGCUAAUACCGCAUAAAACCUAACACCGCAUGGUGUAGGGUUGAAAGAUGGUUUCGGCUAUCACUUUAGGAUGGACCCGCGGUGCAUUAGUUAGUUGGUGAGGUAAAGGCUCACCAAGACCGUGAUGCAUAGCCGACCUGAGAGGGUAAUCGGCCACACUGGGACUGAAGACACGGCCCAGACUCCUACGGGAGGCAGCAGUAGGGAAUCUUCCACAAUGGACGAAAGUCUGAUGGAGCAACGCCGCGUGAGUGAAGAAGGUUUUCGGAUCGUAAAACUCUGUUGUUGGAGAAGAAUGUAUCUGAUAGUAACUGAUCAGGUAGUGACGGUAUCCAACCAGAAAGCCACGGCUAACUACGUGCCAGCAGCCGCGGUAAUACGUAGGUGGCAAGCGUUGUCCGGAUUUAUUGGGCGUAAAGCGAGCGCAGGCGGUUUCUUAAGUCUGAUGUGAAAGCCUUCGGCUCAACCGAAGAAGUGCAUCGGAAACUGGGAAACUUGAGUGCAGAAGAGGACAGUGGAACUCCAUGUGUAGCGGUGAAAUGCGUAGAUAUAUGGAAGAACACCAGUGGCGAAGGCGGCUGUCUGGUCUGUAACUGACGCUGAGGCUCGAAAGCAUGGGUAGCAAACAGGAUUAGAUACCCUGGUAGUCCAUGCCGUAAACGAUGAGUGCUAGGUGUUGGAGGGUUUCCGCCCUUCAGUGCCGCAGCUAACGCAUUAAGCACUCCGCCUGGGGAGUACGACCGCAAGGUUGAAACUCAAAGGAAUUGACGGGGGCCCGCACAAGCGGUGGAGCAUGUGGUUUAAUUCGAAGCAACGCGAAGAACCUUACCAGGUCUUGACAUCCUUUGACCACUCUAGAGAUAGAGCUUUCCCUUCGGGGACAAAGUGACAGGUGGUGCAUGGUUGUCGUCAGCUCGUGUCGUGAGAUGUUGGGUUAAGUCCCGCAACGAGCGCAACCCUUAUUACUAGUUGCCAGCAUUUAGUUGGGCACUCUAGUGAGACUGCCGGUGACAAACCGGAGGAAGGUGGGGACGACGUCAAAUCAUCAUGCCCCUUAUGACCUGGGCUACACACGUGCUACAAUGGAUGGUACAACGAGUUGCGAGACCGCGAGGUUUAGCUAAUCUCUUAAAACCAUUCUCAGUUCGGAUUGUAGGCUGCAACUCGCCUACAUGAAGCCGGAAUCGCUAGUAAUCGCGGAUCAGCAUGCCGCGGUGAAUACGUUCCCGGGCCUUGUACACACCGCCCGUCACACCAUGAGAGUUUGUAACACCCAAAGCCGGUGAGGUAACCC
rnacentral:rRNA from 1 species